rnacentral:rRNA from 1 species
GAGUAACACGUGGGUAACCUGCCCUUAAGUGGGGGAUAACAUUUGGAAACAGAUGCUAAUACCGCAUAAAUCCAAGAACCGCAUGGUUCUUGGCUGAAAGAUGGCGUAAGCUAUCGCUUUUGGAUGGACCCGCGGCGUAUUAGCUAGUUGGUGAGGUAACGGCUCACCAAGGCAAUGAUACGUAGCCGAACUGAGAGGUUGAUCGGCCACAUUGGGACUGAGACACGGCCCAAACUCCUACGGGAGGCAGCAGUAGGGAAUCUUCCACAAUGGACGCAAGUCUGAUGGAGCAACGCCGCGUGAGUGAAGAAGGCUUUCGGGUCGUAAAACUCUGUUGUUGGAGAAGAAUGGUCGGCAGAGUAACUGUUGUCGGCGUGACGGUAUCCAACCAGAAAGCCACGGCUAACUACGUGCCAGCAGCCGCGGUAAUACGUAGGUGGCAAGCGUUAUCCGGAUUUAUUGGGCGUAAAGCGAGCGCAGGCGGUUUUUUAAGUCUGAUGUGAAAGCCCUCGGCUUAACCGAGGAAGUGCAUCGGAAACUGGGAAACUUGAGUGCAGAAGAGGACAGUGGAACUCCAUGUGUAGCGGUGAAAUGCGUAGAUAUAUGGAAGAACACCAGUGGCGAAGGCGGCUGUCUGGUCUGUAACUGACGCUGAGGCUCGAAAGCAUGGGUAGCGAACAGGAUUAGAUACCCUGGUAGUCCAUGCCGUAAACGAUGAAUGCUAGGUGUUGGAGGGUUUCCGCCCUUCAGUGCCGCAGCUAACGCAUUAAGCAUUCCGCCUGGGGAGUACGACCGCAAGGUUGAAACUCAAAGGAAUUGACGGGGGCCCGCACAAGCGGUGGAGCAUGUGGUUUAAUUCGAAGCAACGCGAAGAACCUUACCAGGUCUUGACAUCUUUUGAUCACCUGAGAGAUCAGGUUUCCCCUUCGGGGGCAAAAUGACAGGUGGUGCAUGGUUGUCGUCAGCUCGUGUCGUGAGAUGUUGGGUUAAGUCCCGCAACGAGCGCAACCCUUAUGACUAGUUGCCAGCAUUUAGUUGGGCACUCUAGUAAGACUGCCGGUGACAAACCGGAGGAAGGUGGGGAUGACGUCAAAUCAUCAUGCCCCUUAUGACCUGGGCUACACACGUGCUACAAUGGAUGGUACAACGAGUUGCGAGACCGCGAGGUCAAGCUAAUCUCUUAAAGCCAUUCUCAGUUCGGACUGUAGGCUGCAACUCGCCUACACGAAGUCGGAAUCGCUAGUAAUCGCGGAUCAGCACGCCGCGGUGAAUACGUUCCCGGGCCUUGUACACACCGCCCGUCACACCAUGAGAGUUUGUAACACCCGAAGCCGGUGGCGUAACCCUUUUAGGGAGCGAGCCGUCUAAGGUGGGACAAAUGAUUAGGGUGAAGUCGUAACAAGGUAGCCGUAGGAGAACCUGCGGCUG